ensembl:lncRNA
GAGGAUUUGUUCUUGCAGGGGGGCAGUGCAGCAGGUCUCUCGCUGCUCCUGCUGCAGAAAAAAGGGAUUGGCGAAUCCUGCAAAGGUGCUUUUGGCAGAGCAGCAGAGGUUCCGUAGUAGCAGAAAUACAAAUAAGGGCGAAAGGCAAAUGUCUGAGGAUGAGUCAGCCAGGAGGUGAAUGCAUUUUCUCCUAAGUGGGCUGUUCUGUAGAUCACACUGAGACUUAGAAACCAAGAUAAGGCUGCAGGUUCUGUGCUUGAACUUUUUACUAAUCUGUGAUUAAUUGCUGGAGAAUGACAUCAGAAAUGUCCCUGCUUUUUUCUUCCUUUCUUCUUCUUUUUUUUUUUUUUCAGCUCCUAUUUCUUUAGCCUUCUGUUCUCGUGCCUUUUCCCUUUUCUCUUUCAUUUUUUUCCCCUCUAAUUAAAUAUAAAUAAAAAGGACUGCACGUUCUGGGCUGUCACUCACCAUAUAUAACUUUUCACCAGCAAUUCCAGAUCCAGGAAUGAUUUUAACUGGCAGUUUGUAAUGAAAUAAAGACGGAAGGUCUGUAAGUUCCAUCUGCAUAUCUGCAUUUCUUCCAUGUGCUUUUGCUUUGCACUUACUUCACUGUGUAAAAUCGGGACUUGUUCCAUGUGCACACACGUAGACAUUUCUGCUUUGGGAGCUGAUCAGAUCAGCAUUAUUUAGGCCACACUGAGUCAGGAAAGCUGUGCUGACAGAGCAGCAUCCCUGAGGAGAGCAACCUUUUUUCCUGAGUGAGGAAAAUCUGAGUGUAAUGUGCUGCUAAAUGAGAUGAGCCCCAUAAGGAUUUAACACAAAACCGUGCUUUUUUUUUUUUUUUUUUUUUUUAAUUGAUUUGUCUUUGGGUAAAGCUCUACAGGUCCUGGGAGCUGAGAGAGAUCCAGAUGUCGAACACCUGCAGGAACUACUUGCAGGGAACUUUCUUCAUUACCCCUCGGUCAUGACUGUGGAAUUUGAGUUUAUUUAACUUGUGGUCACUUAGCAGCACUCCCCACCAGAGAUGAGUCAGAUGCUGUGCCACUCUCCCAAGGGAAUCUGCUGCAGUUGGGAUCAGAAAAUUAAUGUCAUCCAUCUUGGCACAUGAAGCUUAGAACGUUUUUUCCCAUGCCAUUAAGGGAGAAUGUAAGGAGCACCAUUAGCCCCAGUGGCCUUUCACUGCUUGCAGACCAAAAGUGGAGGUGUUAUCCAGAAUUCAAACCACAGGCCUCUGGAUAUCUCCUUCCGCUCCAAAAUUUGCAGUUACAGAAGAGGCCUUCCUUUAAAAGCUGCAAUUACCUGUGUCAGUAACGUGCCAGCAGUCAGCAGGCUCUGCACCAGCUCCUGGGAAUCUCAUGACUGACCACAUCUGGAAGCCUUCCUUUUGACUUCUGCGCUCCCACACAGCAAGUAAAGCUCCCACAGACUGCACGGCCUCAGUGUGGGGCAGCAGGCAGAGAUGGGAAGGGUGGGCACUUGUCACCCAAAGCUUUAUAAGGAAGAGAACUAAAUACUAUUACCCUUUACUUUGCCUUUUUGAGCACACCCAACUGAUUCCCAGGAUUCUCUCCCAACAAGUGCUUUGUUUAUUUUUCUUGUUCUUUCUUGUUUGUUGUUGUUGUUUUGUUUGUUUGUUUUCUCUUUGCUUGGAUCAAAUUUUAGUUACUAGCUUACUCUGGACAAACAUGCUUGGCCACGCUCAUUGAUUGUCUUCCCCUUCAGCAGCACUGGCUGACACAGUACUGUCCACAUCAAAGGAGCUCCCCGUGCAGUGGGGAUGCCACCGGGACAUGCUUGCAUGGGAAGAGGGCUGAGUGAGUGCCUAGUCGGUGCACACCACACCCGGUGUCACCCUCCUGUGGGGGCUGGCUUUCACCAGCACUGAAGUGGGCUUAGGUACACUGUCCAUUAGGUUACAAAUUGCUUCUUAGAGUUAUGUCCAUACUAAUGUUACAGAAGAAUAGGAUUGGAAGGAAAAUUGUGUUUUACCUUGAAUUCAUUGUGCAGGAAAAUAGGGAUUAUGAUGUCAAUCUGAUUCAUGGCUUGCUCAUGCUGCUGUCUUUGAUCAAGGAGCAAGGGUCCCUGGACUUGGGAGAAAGAGAGAAAACCUGGUACUAAGUAUUUAUAUGACGAGAUGCUUUGUGGGCAAAAUUCUUCCUAAAAUCAAACUUACUUUUGUAUGUCAGGUUAAUGAAAGAUGAGCACAAAUCUUUUCUUCUGAUGGUUUCUUUGGUGGCUUUAAAAAGGAAACAGUUGCAUCCUCCCAGAAAUGCAGUGAUGGACUUGAUAUUGGAAAACUGCUUCACAAUGUGUCCACAAGUUAUGAAUAUUGUGUCACAGAAUAGUCACUAUCAAAACAUCUUAAAGAUAAAGCUAAGCAUAGAUAUUUAUCUUUCCACAUACAUCUUAGGGCUUUCAAUGUCUAUGCUAGAUGGUGGCUUAACCAAAUGAUCCUUGCCAUACUAUUGGCAAGGCAGUUUAAUUACUGUGGUUCUUAGAAAUUAGUGUAUUUUGGAUUCAGCAUUCACAUAUGAUGAAGUUAAACACACUUCACCAAGCCUAAAUAUUCCUUAGAUGUGAUUUAACAUAGCAAGCUCAAAUCAGAUGAUUUUUGCCAAUAGUUUUUAAAAUUCCUGAUUUUAGAAGCUAGGCUUGCCUGAGUCAAAGAGAGGUCUCUGUUAAAGGCCUGAGCUGACCUGGUGAUCCCCACUCAGCCUCAGGCUGUGCCAUGAACUGAAGGACGUGAGGCAGUUGAAGGGCUGAAUGCGUGUUGAAGAUGGUCUGCUUUUCUGACCCAUGACAGUGAAAGAACACUGGAUUCUCCUUCACUUGGCCAUUUAGAUCUGCUCAGUGGUUGCCUAGAUUUGAGUCCACAUCAUUGCAAAAUAUUCCCUGCACCAGAUCCUGGCAGAAUCAAGCAUUUCCCCUGGAAAAAAAAUCAUAUAUCCCAAUCGCAUCUUGCAUCACAUCGGCAGUUCUGCUGUCAUUUCACUAGAGAGAGAAAUACAAGGGAAGAGAAUCAUAUUUAAAUUGUUUACACUCCUUGAGCCCACUGAAAUCCCAUUAAAUUAGGUUUCUGCAGUACAGUUACUUGAUCUUUCUGAGAUAUCACAGUUGCUCCAUCACAAACAAACAAGGGGCAUUUGUUGCUGUUGCUGUGUUGCUAGGUUUGAUCACCAGUGGCAAGGCCAAACAUGGUUUUUGGGUGAUGUUUGCUGAAAUCCCAGCUCCAUGUCCCAUCUGAAACAAGGGAUGCUAAGCCAUCCCAGCAGAGUACCUGGGGCCACUGCCACAAGAUAAAACAGAUGAAGGCAAAUGAAAGGUAUAAUCCUUCUGGGAGGGCUUGGUUAGCAGCAAGGAGGGUUUGGAUAGAGGGCUUAAAGGAUUUGCCAAGUAAAUGCUGCCCAGAUCCCACUCUAAUUGUUAAACUAAGCUUCCCCCCUGUCCCACUGUUUUUAGGCAGUUAGUUGGUGCAGCCUCCUUUAAGUGCCACAAAUGAAAACUUUUCUUUGUGGCAUGUCCCCUUUUCUAACAAACAACACCUUGCCCUAAGGCUGUAGGGUAAGGUGGUGUUCAGACCAAUAACUGACCUUCUUGAGAUGAACAGCAGACCAAAAUCUCUCUUCUGAUGGCACAGCACCAGGGAGCAGGCUGCUGAGCCCUGUUCCUAAUGGUUUCAGGGCUGCCAGCAUCCACACGGCAUGGGUUAUUCACUCUCAUCUUCCACAGCCAUUCCUCCACUCCCAUCCUUGCCGGCCCUCUGACCACUGGCUGCUAUGGAAUGCUCACUGCGUCUCCAGUUCUGCACAGGAUUGGUGAGCACAGGCCUUGACCUAAUAGUGACUUGCUAUGUGCCUUUGUGGUUUUCUGCUCUUCCUGCUUUGUUAAGGACUCUAUCUUGUGGCUUCUCCUGGGACACUUCCUUGAUAUGCAGAAGUGUAAGAAAGGCUGCCUGCAGGCAGAAAAACAGAGUGAAACUGCAUUUUGUUAUGGAGCUCGGGUUCUGGGUCUCUUAUUUAAGUGUUUGUACGGGCAGUCAGCUGCACUUCCAAGUUACUUCCAGCGAUUCACCUUCGGGGGACUUAGAAGUGUGGAGGGAACUGCAGAGAUAAAGAUUGGCCACAGAUUAAUGAUAAAAAUGAAAGAAAUUUUAGUGAAACAAUUUAGCUGCUAGCUCACAAUUUGGUUGCCAAGUUUUAGUCCAGUAGAGUUGAAAUGGCCAAGUUCUUAAUGCCAACAAUUGAGGUUUGUAAAGGAAAUACCAAAUCAACCUUGGCGGAAAAAGAGGCAGACAUUAAAUUGCAGAGCAAAGAGUGCAUUUGCUUUGUAGGUUUAGAAAUAAACAAGUUACUUAGAUGAAAAUAAGCUUGAGGUUCUUCUGAUUGUUUGAUUCCCGUGUGUAAGCAACAAGGAGCUGGAGCAGAAAGGUGCAGCAUUUGUCAGCAGCCGCUGAACUGGAGCGAAUGCUCUACAGAAUUGUCGGCGAGGGGAGCAGGGAAGGGGACUGGUACAGGGAAGUGCUGCAGAAGUGCUCAGAAACUUGCUCUGCCUCAUCGUGUAAAGGUUUAAGAAGAGCUCAGACUGCAAAGUCUUGCCUCUUCUUAUUUCAGCAAGUGCCAAAAAGACACAUUCUUUAAUGCACACAAUAGCUUUUCUUGGAUACAUUGUCGACGCUAUACACUUGUCAUUGGACAGGUUUGUGUAAUUUUCCCUCUAUAAUGUGUAACAGUGUGCCCGCACAUUCCUGCAGCAGGAGAGCAGCUGAAUUCACUGUGAGGGCUAUCUUCCAUCCAAGAGGCAUUCCACUGGAGCUGGAGAAACUAUUCACAGUGUGGGGACUGCCAAGGCACGCUGGAACGAGGACAUCAAAAUCUUCUCCUGAACUAUUAUUUCAGUCCUUUCAGUUUUAUAAAGGACAAAAGAAAACCUUACGCAUUGCACGGGCAGUCUUAUUAGUCUACUCUGCAAGGUAGAACGUAUUUCAUCCAGGAGUGACAGCUGAGCCCAAAACACCACUUUUCAGAAUUAGCAGGUUUCUUUUGUAGUGCAGCUUGCCAAAUACCAGCUUCCGCACCCAGUCAUGGACAUCAGAGACGUCACAGCAGGGAAAUGACAAAGCAUAAGUGCUGUUUCUUGUACAAGACCAACCUGGACAUUACUUGGUUGAGGAAGCCCUGCACCAGUUAGCUCCAUAACAGCUAUGCUGUACUGUACUUAGCAACAGAGAAUGGCAGCCAAUAGCCACGAUUUCCAGAUUGCUUUGUGCACGUUACCUAUGAGUGCCUAUCAUCCUGUGUUCAACUUACUAGCUCAGUGCAAUGCUUUCCUGUUCAAUUAAGCAGAUGUCAAGCUGCAGGAGAGUAUUUCUGGAGUUUCUGCUGUAAAUCAUUCAAAUGUGGAAAAGAAGCAGCACCAGCUAGUAUUUGGGUACUCCAUCACAUGCAGCAGUCACCUGCACAUCCCUUUUGUAGUGGUUGUAAUAAGCUGCUGCUGCAGUUUCACUUAUUCUGUGUUAUGCAUUUCUGUUCUUCCUGAAUUGUCCUUUUCUAUUUAAAAAAGGUGUUUAAUAAAUUCUAAGUAAAUAUGGGAACACUUUAUCAUGUGUGAAUUGGUAGCUCUUAUGAUACUACUUUGCCUUAAUCGAAGCAUGAACUUUCUAGUUUUAGCCCAUCAAAUAAAAUCUGUAACAUCAGGAAUACAUUAUUUAGUUUUCCUGAUAUAGUCCUUGCUGGAGGUAAAUAAGAUAUCAUAGCGAUAUCAUUCACUCAGUUACAGUUCUGGCUGUGUCAGCAUUUACAUUGCAAACCUUCUCUUUCAGGGGUUUAUAGCGCAGCCAUAAAAUGCACUCUCAUCUUUAACUUGGCACACCAGGUCCCAGCCUGGCAAUGAAUUUAUUUUACAAAAUGCAAGAACAAUGCAAUGUCUGUCUGGCUGUGUUCAAGUUAAAAUUCUUUAGCAAAGGAGCGGGCCUAUGUAGAGAAGCCCAUGCAGAAGCCACGUGGCCAGUACCCAGCUGCAGCCUUUGAAGGUCACCAGAUGCAUAAAGUCCAAGAUUGUCAGUGCUGACAACAUUUCAUGACAUUUUGCACAUGCACAGUAAGCUUAAUCCAG